rnacentral:rRNA from 1 species
CUACGGGUUGCUGCAGUAAGGAAUAUUGCGCAAUGGAGGCAACUCUGACGCAGCCAUGCCGCGUGCAGGAAGAAGGCCUUAUGGGUCGUAAACUGCUUUUAUUUAGGAAUAAACCCCCGAACGUGUUCGGGGCUGAAGGUACUAAACGAAUAAGCACCGGCUAACUCCGUGCCAGCAGCCGCGGUAAUACGGAGGGUGCAAGCGUUAUCCGGAUUUAUUGGGUUUAAAGGGUGCGCAGGCGGGCUAUUAAGUCAGUGGUGAAAUCCCGGGGCUCAACUUCGGAACUGCCAUUGAUACUGAUAGUCUUGAGUUUGGUUGAAGUGGGCGGAAUGUAGCAUGUAGCGGUGAAAUGCAUAGAUAUGCUACAGAACACCAAUCGCGAAGGCAACUCACUAAGCCAAAACUGACGCUCAUGCACGAAAGCGUGGGGAUCAAACAGGAUUAGAUACCCUGGUAGUC